rnacentral:rRNA from 1 species
AGAGUUUGAUCAUGGCUCAGGACGAACGCUGGCGGCGUGCCUUAUGCAUGCAAGUCGGACGAGCCCCCGGGACUUCGGUCCUGGACGGCUAGUGGCAGACGGCUGAGUAACACGUAAGUAACCAACCUUCCAGUGGGGAAUAAUCCGCCGAAAGGCGGCCUAAUACCGCAUACGAUCGCUCCCUGAUGGGGAGUGAUGAAAGACUUGUCGCUGGAAGACGGGCUUGCGGCCUAUCAGGUAGUUGGCGGGGUAACGGCCCACCAAGCCGAAGACGGGUACCUGGUCUGAGAGGACGAUCAGGCAGAAGGGGACUGAGACACGGCCCCUACUCCUACGGGAGGCAGCAGCAGGGAAUCUUGCACAAUGGGCGAAAGCCUGAUGCAGCGACGCCGCGUGGGGGAUGAAGGCCCUCGGGUCGUAAACUCCUUUUCUGGGGAACGAUAAUGACGGUACCCCA